GGAAAAUGCUCCGAAGCUCAAUGAUCAUGAUGCAGACAAUGAUGGUCUGGUUGCUGACUUUAUUGACACAUAUAUCACUUGUGAGACACCACCAGAAAAUGAUACUGUACUUUACGAAACAGUGAACACUGUUCAGAAGCACAGUACAAGACAUUCAAAAACAUGUCGGAAGAAAAAUACAGUUUGUAGAUUUAAUUUUCCAAGACCACCAUCUAGUCUGACUUUCAUUACAAGAGGAAACAAUGCAGAUGAGUUGAAAGGCAACAGUGAAGAUACCACAGCAAGUGCAAUUAUAAAGAAAGUAAAAACCACUUUAAAUUCUGAUGUGAAUUUUGAUUCGGUUGAUUCCUUUUUUUCAUUUAUUGGGAUUAAUCAAACUAUGUUUGAAAAAGCAUACAAUGAAUGUUCUAAAAAGAAAAGUAUUGUCUUGAAAAGAAAUCCAAAAGAUGUUUGGAUAAAUCAGUAUAACAAAGAUUUACUGCGUGCUUGGCAAGGGAAUAUGGAUAUUCAGUAUGUUACAGAUGCUUUUUCUGUAGUGGUCUACAUACUUAGUUACAUUACAAAAGCUGAACAAGAAAUGGGACUUCUGCUUCAGCGUGCACAAAAUGAAGCUAUGAAUGGAAAUCUUGAUGCUAAAGCAUCAUUAAAACAGUUGGGAACUAUCUAUCUGCACAACAGAGAAAUUUCUGCUCAAGAGGCAGUGUACAGGCUGACAGGCAUGCAUUUGAAUGAAUGUUCCCGUAAAGUACAAUUUAUUCCAAUAGGACAAAAUCCUAUAAAGAUGAGUUUGCCUUUGCAUAUGCUCCAAAACAAAGUGGAAAACGACCAGUCAGAUGAUGAAAACAAUUUUUGGAUGACAAGUGUCAUUGACAGGUACAAGAACAGACCAGAGAAAGAACCUCUAGAUAAUCUGUGUCUUGCCAGUUUUUGUUCUGAGUACAGAGUUCUGACAAAAUCAGAGGUUUCCUCACAAAACAAAACAGCAGAAAAUGAAAUGAUUAAACUCAAUAACAACAAUGGCCAUGUAAAGCGGAGGACACGCACUGAACCUGCAGUAGUGAGGUAUCCAAGGUUUUCCCCCACAAAAGAUCCAGAAAAAUAUUAUCAUUCAUUGUUGCAGCUUUUCUUACCACAUUAUGAUGACUCUGAUCUGAAGCCUAGCAACUAUGACACAUAUGAGGAGUUUUACAUCAGUGGUGUCAUAAAGAUUGGUUUUGAAGUGAAACAAGUCAAAUUAAUUGUUGAUGGCAACAGAGCAUUGUUUGAAAAGGAAAGUGAUAAAAUAGAACAAGCUAAACAGAUUUUGGAGCAGGAUAUUGAUUUAGAAGAUGCCUGGGCCCAGAUAUGUCCUGAAACCGAAAAACAGCGUGAUGAAUGCAUAGA
rnacentral:lncRNA from 1 species